rnacentral:rRNA from 1 species
CGGACGGGUGAGUAACGCGUGAGAAUCUGGCUUCAGGUCUGGGACAACCACUGGAAACGGUGGCUAAUACCGGAUGUGCCGAAAGGUGAAAGGUUAACUGCCUGAAGAUGAGCUCGCGUCUGAUUAGCUAGUUGGUAGAGUAAAAGCCUACCAAGGCGACGAUCAGUAGCUGGUCUGAGAGGACGACCAGCCACACUGGGACUGAGACACGGCCCAGACUCCUACGGGAGGCAGCAGUGGGGAAUUUUCCGCAAUGGGCGAAAGCCUGACGGAGCAAUACCGCGUGAGGGAGGAAGGCUCUUGGGUCGUAAACCUCUUUUCUCAGGGAAGAACACAAUGACGGUACCUGAGGAAUAAGCAUCGGCUAACUCCGUGCCAGCAGCCGCGGUAAUACGGAGGAUGCAGGCGUUAUCCGGAAUGAUUGGGCGUAAAGCGUCCGCAGGUGGCAAUGUAAGUCUGCUGUUAAAGAGUCUAGCUCAACUAGAUAAGAGCAGUGGAAACUACAUAGCUAGAGUACGUUCGGGGCAGAGGGAAUUCCUGGUGUAGCGGUGAAAUGCGUAGAGAUCAGGAAGAACACCAGUGGCGAAGGCGCUCUGCUAGGCCGUAACUGACACUGAGGGACGAAAGCUAGGGGAGCGAAUGGGAUUAGAUACCCCAGUAGUC